rnacentral:lncRNA from 1 species
AUCAAAAUAAUUAAUUAACUGUGCAUUCGUGUUCCACCUUCAAUGAAGAUUCUAAAUUAUAAAUAUAACCACAAGUUGUUAAUCCAUAGGAUAGUGAAUACUAAUGAAAGCUAACCCACUGUAAAAAAUAUUUCUUUGAAAUUUUUUAAAACUUCCUCAGAGAAAUGCUCGAGCCACUUGACUUUCAUAGCUCAUAAUUAACGUUUUUAUGCCCCACCUACGAUAGUAGAGGGGCAUUAUGUUUUCUGGUCUGUGCGUCCGUUCGUUCGUUCGUUCGUCCGUCCGUCCGUUCGUUCGUUCGUUCGUCCGUCUGUCCCGCUUCAAGUUAAAGUUUUUGGUCGAGGUAGUUUUUGAUGAAGUUGAAGUCCAAUCGACUUCAAACUUGGUACACAUGUUCCCUAUGAUAUGAUCUUUCUAAUUUUAAUGCCAAAUUAGAGAUUUUACCCCAAUUUCACGGUCCACGUAACAUAGAAAAUGAUAGUGCGAGUGGGGCAUUCGUGUACUGAGGACACAUUCUUGUUACACAAUAUUUUAAU